CCAGAGACAGUUAUCGAUCAACACAGACAGGAGUGCAACUGUGCAACGUAAAUAAGGAAACAACACCAAGGAAACAAAGUACCCUCAAAGUUUGCCAUCUGAGGUAAGCUAAGCUAAAGGGAAACAUGUAAUUUGGAUUUUAUUUGGGGGAGACUUAAUAACAUUUAUGUCAGUCUUUGCUGUUUUAGGUAAAGUCAAGGCAGCCGGUUAUAACAUGAGUAGUAUUCCCUCCAAUUUUCAUCUUGCUAAUUCUAAACAACUGCAAUAUUGCAUUUGCCAAAGUUGCCUUAAAUAAUGUAAUGUUAGCUGUCUUUACAUGGUGCUUGUGUUCUUUGUUUCACACAACUGUUGCUAGAUGGAUACUCGUCUCAGCAAAAGGGCACGUGGGGUGAUGAAGGCUGAGGAAGCUAAGGAAGUAGAGGAGGAGAUGAACAAGGAACAGACAGAAGAUGAGACAGAGGUCCCUAUUCGAAGAUAUAAGAAAAAGAAGCCAGUCAAAUAUUCCCCGAAAAAACCGAUGUCUCCAACAGGGGCAUUGGAGUUGGCCAAACUGAAACAACAAAAUAAGAUGGAUCGGCAGAAGAUUGAACACCUUGAGGACCGCAUUAAGUACCUGGAGGAGGCCAACAGGGAUCUAAAAAAUGACAAGGACUUCUUACUUUCCCAAAUUAAGGGAGCCACCAACACACCUGCAUCUACUGGGAAAGUGACCACAACGGAUGGAGUUAUCCGCCGCUACAAGAAUGUCCUGUCCAUAUUCAAUAAGCAUGGAUCCAUGAAAAAGGCCUUCGCCAAAAUUAACGUCGACCGCAACACAAUUGCGAGAACAGCUGUGAUUGCUGAACUAGCAAUCACAUUUCCAGACACCUUCAAGGACCUGCUUCCACGAGAUGAAGCUAAUGAGAAGAUGUCUGCAUUUGCAGAGCGUUGCAGGGGAGCUAUAACACAGGAGAUGGCUGAAAUUAUCACAGCAAAGAAAAAAAGUGGA
rnacentral:lncRNA from 1 species